GGGGCUGAUUCUGGAUUCGACGGGAUUUGCGAAGCCCAAGGAGCAUGCCGAGGGGCGGUUGGCCUCGUAAAAAGCCGCAAAAAAAUAGUCGCAAACGACGAAAACUACGCUUUAGCAGCUUAAUAACCUGCUCAGAGCCCUCUCUCCCUAGCCUCCGCUCUUAGGACGGGGAUCAAGAGAGGUCAAACCCAAAAGAGAUCGCGUGGAGGCCCUGCCUGGGGUUGAAGCGUUAAACUUAAUCAGGCUAGUUUGUUAGUGGCGUGUCCAUCCGCAGCCGGCAAGCGAAUGUAAAGAUUGGACUAAGCAUGUAGUGCCGACGGUGUAGUAAUUUCGGACGCGGGUUCAACUCCCGCCAGCUCCACCA
rnacentral:tmRNA from 1 species